GUGUGUGUGUGUGUGUGUGUGCGCGUGUGUGCGCGCGCAAGCUCCACUUCAAAACUUCAGAAGCAGUAGCAGGGGCAGAACUUGGUGGACUUUCUGCGACCUUAUAGAACAUGAACAGACAAUGCGCUCUCUGUCGAAAUAGUUCAAGCUAAGCUGUUGCUAGGAAACUGAAAAAUAUGGCCGCCAAGCUUAAGCUAGGUAAUGACUGAGGCAAACAAUUUAUAUUUGGGUUUUCAUACCAACAGUAUAAAAGGUACUGUAAUGUCGGAAACGAGACAAAACUAUCAGGAACUAUGAGGAGUCGGACCGUUGCUAGGCAACUAGGAAUUACGGUUGCUAAGCAUAAGAUAGCUAAUGAUUGAGCCCGAGAGUUUGCUGAAUAACAUGUAACGUGUAGAUCUUUUAUAGAAAUAUAAAUAAGCAGAACGGCAGUGGAAACGAGACAAAACCACAACGAGACUUGAACCUAGCCCGGUAUCGACGUGUCCUUGUUGUCAAACGUCCUACAUCUAGUUCAGGUUAGCUAGAUGUUCCUGGUCGAUCACGUGUAAAGGAGAUUAGACUAAGCCUAAGGUCAGACCCUAACGCUGGAGUCCGACUGGCCGCGUAGAUUCGUUCGCAGAUAAACGUUGUCACAGAGCGGUGACUUUUCCGGAACACGGCGACGCCCCCGCUGUACGCAUUGCGUGGAAGAACCCGGCGAGGAACGUGGGAGAGCGGAAAUACGCUACGCUGCUGGAUUGGCGUUCAGACCGAACGAGACACGGGGGAGAGAGAGGAAGACGGAAAAAACGCGUACUGAAUCAGACACGGAGAGAUCUAGAAAGAGAUCAAAGCGCGACAGACAGACAAACGACACGGACCGGAGGCGGGAGAAAGAAAGAAAGGUGCAACCUGGAGAGAAGGAGGACUGAAGCAAGAAGAGCGUAAAAGAGUGAUUGAACGAGAGACCGAGAGCCCAGAAGUGACAGACGAGUGAGAGAAACAAAGAUAAGCUGAGAGAGAGAGAGAGAGAACGAGUGAGCUGAAAACAGAACUGAAAGAGACAGGAAGGGGAGACUGAAAGCAGAUAAGUCAGAAGGAAAGAGGUAGAGAAAGCGUCUGAAAGAGAUAGAGACGGGCAGAACUGCGCGAGAGAGAGAGAAACUGAGAAUGAGAGGCAAAUCGAGAGAUGCAGAACUGAAAGGGAGACUGAGAAAGAGAGCGAGACCAUUCAGAAAGGCAUCCGGUGAGUCACGGAGACGGAGAGAGACACCUGAAAGAGAUGGGCUGAGAGAGAGGGACAGGCAAAGAGAGACAUAGAAAGAGAUCUAGAUAGAUAGACAGACAGACAGACAGAGUCACAUAGCCAGAGAGACAGGAAAAAGACAUAGAAAUAGAAAGACACAGAGAGAGAGACAGGCAUAGAGAGAUAGCCAGUGAAAGAGAGACACGUGAAGAGAUGCACACAAAGUGAUGCACAGAACUGAAAGAAACAGACUGGCAGUAUGAGUGAAAGAGAGAGAGACAGACAGGCAGUAUGAGAGAGAGAGAGACGGGUAGACAGAACUGAAAGAGACAGACAGACAGACAGAUGGUAUGAACGAGAGAGACGGGUAGACAAACUAAAGGAGACAGACAGGCAGUAUGAGAGAGAGAGAGAGAGUGAGACAGGUAGACAGAACUGAAGGAGACAGACAGGCAGUAUGAGAGAGUGAGACGGGUAGACAGAACUGAAAGAGACAGACAGGCAGUAUGAGAGAGAGAGACGGGUAGACAGAACUGAAGGAGACAGACAGGCAGUAUGAGAGAGAGAGACAGGUAGACAGAACUGAAAGAGACAGACAGGCAGUAUGAGAGAGAGAGACGGGUAGACAGAACUGAAAGAGACAGACAGGCAGUAUGAGAGAGAGAGACAGGUAGACAGAACUGAAAGAGACAGACAGGCAGUAUGAGAGAGAGACAGACAGGUAGACAGAACUGAAGGAGACAGACAGGCAGUAUGAGAGAGAGAGACAGGUAGACAGAACUGAAAGAGACAGACAGGCAGUAUGAGAGAGAGAGAGAGACAGGUAGACAGAACUGAAAGAGACAGACAGGCAGUAUGAGAGAGAGAGACAGGUAGACAGAACUGAAAGAGACAGACAGGCAGUAUGAGAGAGAGAGAGACAGGUAGACAGAUCUGAAAGAGACAGACAGGCAGUAUGAGAGAGAGAGACAGGUAGACAGGACUGAAAGAGACAGGCAGUAUGAGAGAGAGAGACAGGUAGACAGAACUGAAGGAGACAGACAGGCAGAGAGGCUCCGCACGCUCGAAUCCUAGCGACGUGCCGCUAAACAGACACGGCUAAUUACCUCCCACUCCGUCUCCGUCCCAGCUUUACUGACACACACACACACACACACACACACACACACACACGCUCGCUCGCUCGCUCGCUCGCUCUCAGCUGCUGCGCUCGUCGUUCUGUGUAAUUUUCGCUUCCCCUCCCCCGUCUCCGUUCUAUCUCCAUCCUUCUCUUGCUCGCUCGCUCGCUCGCUCUCUCUCUCUCUUGCUCGCUCGCUUUCUCUCUCUCUCUCUCUCUCUCGCUCGCUCGCGCUGUGCGCUGCCGGCUGAUGCAGUAUUAAUGGCUCUCUUGUGCCUCCGGGGCCUCUCCGCUCUGCCCCACACACGCACACACACACACACACACACUGCUCGCAUUUCCUCCCUCCCUCGCUCCCUCUCGCUCUCUCCCUAUUCAUCCUGCCGGCGCUCGGCGAGACCCACACACCGCCUCAAGUGCCAUCGACCGAGCGCUGCCUGUUACCGCUCUCUCGCCCGUGUGUGUGUGUGUGUGUGUGUGUGUGAGUGCGCGUUCACAUCAGACGGGCUUUGUCUCGGCUUUUUGUGCGUCUGUAACCUAUUGUAUUUCGGGGCAAGCGAGAGGCCGAGCAUCUUUUGUGCAUUUGGGGCUGCUUUCGUAAUUGUGCCUGCGUGCGUGCGCGUGUGUGUGCGUGCGUGUGUGUGUGUGCAAGACAGAGAACAUCUGCAUAAACUUGGUUAUGACGUCGGAAGCGAAUACACAUACUCUUGCUACGGAAGGAAUGGGGGGAAAAAAAAAGCAGAAUCCACCCACAGCUUUCCUCCAGCCAGAGCAGCUUUAGAGCAGAACGUCUCCGCAGCAUCGCGGCUUUCGAUCUAGCGCAGCGAAUGCUGUCGAACGCCAGAGCUGCGCCGCGAGAGUUUAUUCUAGCAGCUUCCUUCACGAACACGUUACAGGCCUGUGCUUGUAGCUUUUUUAUAUAACAGCACUUUCCUGUCGUGUCAUUUUACCUUUCCCUUUUGUGAAAAACAGUAACACGACCCUCGAACGCGUCUUCUCCAACAAAAUAUAAAAUGGCGACGGGGACCGACGCGCCGUCCGCAGCUUCCGGUUAUUUAGGAUCGAACUCCAAGCAGACGUUCUCUUAAAACGACUUCGCGACGCAGGCUAGCUACAAGUUUAGCUAGCCAACCGAACGCUAUCCCGAGCACGAACGUGUGCGCUCUGCGUCAUCGCGUAAUCCACGUCGUUCCGAUGUGACGUAAACACGAACGUCCUUCGCGACAGUUCGUUUCGCUUGGAGAUCGCUAAGAGAUCGCUACGACUUUCGCACCUCGUUCGUGCAAAUACGUCCGGUGCUGUGACAUCAUCAGUGCGAGUAUAGCUUAAGAUUAUGAACCUUAACGUUUAAAUGUAAACGUAUACCGUAGUAGGAACAUGUCGUUCUGCUCUUCGGAAUUAGCAUCCAUACUUGCUAGCUACUAGCUAGCUUGCUUUUCACAACUAUUUAUUUCUUUAUUUAUUUUGUAGCGUCACAAUUUAUACCAUUAUAGCAUGACGUUUUGUUUUUAUUUUUUUUUUUUUAUCAUGGUCGCUUUUAUAUGGUUCCAUCUUCUGAAGUUCUGAAGUAUUGGAAAUUGAUGUACAGAAAGAAUUAACGUAACGGGACGUACGGAAGUCUUCACACCGUUUCUAAAGUUCUCGCUUUUUUUUUUUUUCCCCUC